ACGUAUAUUAUUUAUAUUUAAAUAGAAUUUAUGAAUUUUAAGUAAUAAAUAUAUAAUUAACGUAUAUUUAUUUUAUUUUAAGUACGUUCUAAAUAUUUAACGAUUUUUGAACUUUAUUAUAUUUAUAUAUUUAAUGUAUAUUUAAUUUUAUUUAAAUAUAUUCUAAAUAUUUUAACGAUUUGUGCAAUCAAGAAUAAUUUUAGAAUUUUAAGUUGAAAAGAAUUUGAAUUACGAAAAUUGAUUGAAUUUAGAAAAUGAUCCUAUUCAGUUUUGGAUUCGAAUCAUAAAAGCUAAAUCCUAAUUCUAGCCCACUUGGAAAAGCCCAACAUUAAAAUCCAAAGCCAAAACCCCACCCAAACCAUUUUCACGUAAAACACCAAAACCCUUUUGCUUUCUCUCUGUUUCACGUACAGCAGGCAACACUCAGCCGUUUUUCUCUCUCCUUCCUUCACGCCACUGCGUCCUGCUCAGUCGCCGGACCACCAGUCCGUCGCCGCCGCAGCAGUCACGAGCCUCACCGCCGUGAGUCUUCCUCGCCGUCAGCUCAACCCCGACCACCGCGCACGCCACCACCAUCGCGUGCCGCCACCGUAUGCAACCACCUUGCCCAGCCUCGCUGCCGCGCCUGCACUAUCGCCGGCCAGCACCUCCUCCUUCUCUUUUUGGCGGAGAAUUCUUUGUGGGCGACUUUUGAAUUCGUUAAAGUGGCCUAUCAGUUUGUUUACACAAGUCUCUAAGGAUCAAUAAGCAUUGUCCAUCUGCAGGUUUGAAGAUGUUGCAUCAUUGGGAUCGGGAAUAGAGAGCUUGUAUUUAGUUUUGAUUUGCUAAGUUAACUUGGGUUUGUUAAUUGGGACUAUAAACUUGUCG